AUCGGAUGAUUUUCAGUUCAGGUCAGCUUCUUUUGUAUUUCUACUCACCGAUUUGGCCAAAUAUACUACAUUGGUAUACAGUAUUCCUUAGAUGGUUGGUUGUAUCACAGAUCUAAAAUCUAGGCUAUAGUUUUAGAUAUUAGUCUCGGAGAAAAGUUUAUUGUUGUACAAUAUGCUAUGUUAAAUAGGAAAACAAGGUGCAUGCCUUUACUUUAUAUUGUAUGCCUAAAUGGUACAAAUUAAGAGUGAGUAUCAUUUAUUCGUAGCAUAAUUUUGACACAGACAUGGUUCGAUUUCCCUCUUGCAGGUGAAUGUCUGAUAAUCAGGACUUAGUUUGGGAACAUGGAGAGAAGAUUGGCAUUGGCUUCAAGUGCAAGUAUUGUCGUGUUGAAAAGGGUGGAGGAGGGGCAACACGGCUAAAGGAGCAUUUGGCACACCGAGAGAAGAAUGUGAGGUGGUGAUGAUGAAGGCAACACCGACGAUGAUGAUGACAAUGAUGAUGGAGGGAGUGGUUAUCGUGUAUCUAGUCAAGCUGGUGGAAGGAAUGAUCGUAGUAUGUCGCCUAUUAGAUUUACCGGGGAGACAGAUUUCACCCAUGCCACACAAGAUCAAGAUCAUGGUCAACCCAUGUCACAAUGGAGGACGACAAGCAACCGACAUCGAUAUGAUCCUCGGGAAGGUGAUAGCUCCAGUUCAGUGAGUUCAACCUUUAGCUAUCCACGUCCACCCUCCUACCCAUAUCCAUAACCACAACCAUGCCCAUAUCUGUACCCACAGCCAUAUUCACACCCACCACCAUAUCCAAGCCACUUCAUUCAACUACCGGUACAUCUUGGCAUGAGCACUAAUGGUCAGAUUGGUGAAUUACAGGAAUAUUAUUAUGGAUAUCACACGUACCAGCAAGAAGAGACCGAAGAAUGAUUAAAUUGAUAUGCCGAAUGCCUUCAUGUAUGGACUAUGUGCUUGCUAGUUUGUAUAUGGCUUGUAUACACUAUGUACUCUUGUUUUCUAUGCACUAUGAGGUUUGUAUGAACUAUGCACUCUUUUGUUUAUGUGAACUAUGAAGUUUGUAUGGACUAUGCACUCGUUUGUUUA